GCUUUACUGACGAGUGGCGGACGGGUGAGUAAUGUCUGGGAAACUGCCUGAUGGAGGGGGAUAACUACUGGAAACGGUAGCUAAUACCGCAUAAUGUCGCAAGACCAAAGAGGGGGACCUUCGGGCCUCUUGCCAUCGGAUGUGCCCAGAUGGGAUUAGCUAGUAGGUGGGGUAAAGGCUCACCUAGGCGACGAUCCCUAGCUGGUCUGAGAGGAUGACCAGCCACACUGGAACUGAGACACGGUCCAGACUCCUACGGGAGGCAGCAGUGGGGAAUAUUGCACAAUGGGCGCAAGCCUGAUGCAGCCAUGCCGCGUGUAUGAAGAAGGCCUUCGGGUUGUAAAGUACUUUCAGCGGGGAGGAAGGGAGUAAAGUUAAUACCUUUGCUCAUUGACGUUACCCGCAGAAGAAGCACCGGCUAACUCCGUGCCAGCAGCCGCGGUAAUACGGAGGGUGCAAGCGUUAAUCGGAAUUACUGGGCGUAAAGCGCACGCAGGCGGUUUGUUAAGUCAGAUGUGAAUCCCCGGGCUCAACCUGGGAACUGCAUCUGAUACUGGCAAGCUUGAGUCUCGUAGAGGGGGGUAGAAUUCCAGGUGUAGCGGUGAAAUGCGUAGAGAUCUGGAGGAAU
rnacentral:rRNA from 1 species